UAUUACAAAUUCAAUCUAUUUGUACUAUUAAAAACUGGCAGAAUACUCAAACAAUGGAAACAUGGCAUGCCAUGUGUACCUUAUAUUGAUAUAUAUAGACCAAUUUUUAAUAGUAAAAAGAAACGGAAUUUUUAACA
rfam:Gossypium hirsutum cultivar TM-1 chromosome 5, whole genome shotgun sequence